GAUGAAGAACGUAGCAAAAUGCGAUAAGUAAUGUGAAUUGCAGAAUUCAGUGAAUCAUCGAAUCUUUGAACGCACAUUGCGCCCGCCAGUAUUCUGGCGGGCAUGCCUGUUCGAGCGUCAUUUCAACCCUCAAGCUCAGCUUGGUGUUGGGACUCGCGGUAACCCGCGUUCCCCAAAUCGAUUGGCGGUCACGUCGAGCUUCCAUAGCGUAGUAAUCAUACACCUCGUUACUGGUAAUCGUCGCGGCCACGCCGUAAAACCCCAACUUCUGAAUGUUGACCUCGGAUCAGGUAGGAAUACCCGCUGAACUUAAGCAUAUCAAUAAGCGGACGA
rnacentral:misc_RNA from 1 species